AUGCUACCUCGUUGAUCCUG
rnacentral:rRNA from 1 species